AUAAAGUUAUCUAGAACUUGUGUUGCCGCCUUUAUUCAGACUUGGUAAAUAUACUAGUCAACAAAAGAAACGAUACAAGACUUUUUUUUUAUCAAUAUAAAGAUAAAGUUUUCCGUUCAUUGGAACAAUAUUGAAGGAAGUAAUACUUAAAAUCAUUAUGGAAAUAUAAAUCCGUUAAAAAAAAUCUUUUUUUGCUUUUGUGACGUUUUUUUCGCGAAUUUGUUUUUUUUACAAAAUUUACAUAAAACGACAAUUUUAAAAACAGAAGUUCCAACUAAUGAUGCCAACCUCUCAUUUAAAGGUAAAGACAGUGUUUGCCAUCAAUUUGUUUUUAAAAAUCAUCCGGUUUCUUCGUUUAUUUGUUAAGCAAAGUUCGGCCCCACGAGAAAUCGUUAAAAUGUAUACAGUACCAACUGAUUUACCAUAGAUAGUAUGUGUAGAGCGAUAUUCAAAAAGCGGUAAGAAUCUUAAAACUAAUCCGAAAGGUUCGAAAUUUACUGUGUGUUGUUUUCAUAUCUAAAGCAUUGAUUUGAGACGAAAAUAUUUUUUUUUGUUUGCAUUUUUUGAGAUUUCAAAAAACCCUUUUUUCCCAAAAAUUUGAAAAAAAACAAUUUUUCAACCCAUUAUUUACAACAUGAACAUAACUUGAUUGCUAUAUUGAAUGUUUUCAAACAAAUUUGAAAUUUUAAUUAGUACUGAGAAAAUUAUGUGUCGAUUUUUUAUUCAACUUAUAUAAAACUGAUUUGCACCCUAUGAUCGUUUACACGGAAUUUAGAUACUUUCCGACAAGUUUUGAUUUUCAUUAUCACAUGUGCAUACAUUGCAAAUGAAAGCUUUUUAAAAUAGUGUAUCUCAUUUUGUUUUAUAUUUAAGACUUUUUGAUAAAUUCUAUUUCAAAGUCGUGUAUCGUUUCUUUUGUUGACUAGUAUAUAAAGCCUCGUCAAUUUUUUAAGCACACAAUCAUGGCGUAUGUUCAGAUUUGGGGGAAAAGGGGGGGGGUUGAAUUCAAUUCAUCACAAGAACCCAUAUACAUUAAUGAUUGAAAAGCACACUCUACAGUGUAUAUUGUUCUACACGUUAUUUAUCAUUCUUUGUGUUAAAGGCAUCGUGUCAUAGUAUUUCAACUGUCAUAACCUUAAAGAAUUACAAGCGAAACAAUGCCUUUUGGCAUUGUUUAUCGGGUGUGGAUGUAGUGUUUUGCUGUUAACGCAGCUCUCGUAGUACUUUACCAUUAAUCUCAUUUUUAUGUGAACCUUUAUUGACACAUAUGUGUCUAAUAAGAGUUGGAGUAAGAAUGCUGCGGUCGUAGUUCGAAGAACUUAUAGAUGUUUGCAUAUCCGCCUUAACACUGCUAGAGAUUAGCAAGAAAGAAAUCUGUUUUUCUAAAAUUAAGUGAAAUCAUCAGGCGAUAAUGUAGAUGAGAAGAAAAGUAAAAGGAAUUACAGAUAAACUUGGUGUGACCGUUAAAGAGGGAAACUUGAUUCGGAGUGAUGAUGGUGAUACAAAAUUGUUAAAAUUUAAUGAAGCUAACAAAGUUGCAUUUGAGAUAAUGUUUAACAUAAAAUCUUGUUAAUAAUUAUUAUUUUUAAUACGAACCAUACUGAACCUAUCUUCUUGAGUAACAAUAAAGGGUUAAGAACUAUUGAACAGCCUUAAGUUGAACAUCAUGGAAUACAGUAAAUAUCUUAUCAUGAAAUUGUCUAAUUUUACACCAAAUAAAGACUUAUAUCAUGUAAUCCUAUUAAACGUAAUUGUGAUACUAAACAUCUUUUACAGAAAACGUUUGACAAAAUUGGAUAAAAUUAAAAGUGCUGUUUUAAAAGACUGACGAAACAAGACGUGUUUAACAAAGAGGAACAGCGCUACAACCUUGUCAGAUUUCAUAUGAACGUCGAGCACUUUUACACAAUCAACUCUUCGAUCAUCUGACAAAAGUGAAUCAACGUCAUGAAAAGACUUUAUAGUAAAAACAACAUCAGAAUCUAGUAACAUUUAAGUUAGUACUUUGGAAUGAUAAACCUACAUUAUCAUUCAGUAAAUGUAGUUAUAGAAAUUGAAAACUUCUGGUAUAAACUGAAAAAAGAAUUAAAAAGUUUAAAUAUGUUUAAAAGGAAACAAAACAGAAAAAAAGGAAAGUAAAGUAAAAAAAAGAAGAAAAAAGAUUUAAAAAAGCAAAGAAAAUAAAAGAAGGAAAAAAGAAAAAGAAGGAGAGAGAGAAUAAAGAGAAAAGAACGGCUUAAAUAUGGAUAUUCGGGAUGGAGGUGGGUAAUGCAGCCAAUAUUAACUUGCCAGUCACCAUCCUGGAUGAAUGCAGAGUAACCAUCUUAGAAGGAAAAGCCAGAAUUUUAAACACUAUCAAAAAAUGUCUUUCACUCCUUUAUCAAGGUUAUCAAUUCACAAUUCUAUUGCAACAACGUUUGUAACGUUCAUUUUGAUUGGAUAACUAACUUAUUUACAUGGCAUCAAUUGAUAAUUGAUGCUGUGGGACGGCACAUUACAGAUUUUGAAAACAUGUUUUAACGUUGUUUUCUGUCAGUUUCAUUUAAAUGGAGAUAACAAUAAUGUAUUUUAAGCUACUACGGC
rnacentral:lncRNA from 1 species